GCGGCUAUAGCUCAGUCGGUAGAGCACCUGCCUUUUAAGCAGAGGGUCGUUGGUUCGAUUCCAACUAGCCGCACAA
rnacentral:tRNA from 1 species